AUUGAACGCUGGCGGCAGGCUUAACACAUGCAAGUCGAGCGGGGGAGGUUGCUUCGGUAACUGACCUAGCGGCGGACGGGUGAGUAAUGCUUAGGAAUCUGCCUAUUAGUGGGGGACAACAUUCCGAAAGGAAUGCUAAUACCGCAUACGCCCUACGGGGGAAAGCAGGGGAUCUUCGGACCUUGCGCUAAUAGAUGAGCCUAAGUCGGAUUAGCUAGUUGGUGGGGUAAAGGCCUACCAAGGCGACGAUCUGUAGCGGGUCUGAGAGGAUGAUCCGCCACACUGGGACUGAGACACGGCCCAGACUCCUACGGGAGGCAGCAGUGGGGAAUAUUGGACAAUGGGCGGAAGCCUGAUCCAGCCAUGCCGCGUGUGUGAAGAAGGCCUUUUGGUUGUAAAGCACUUUAAGCGAGGAGGAGGCUCUUAAGGUUAAUACCCUUGAUGAGUGGACGUUACUCGCAGAAUAAGCACCGGCUAACUCUGUGCCAGCCGCCGCGGUAACAC
rnacentral:rRNA from 1 species